CUUACACAUGCAAGNNNNACGAGAACGGUACUAGCUUGCUAGUAUGUCAGCUAAGUGGCGGACGGGUGAGUAAUGUAUAGUUAAUUUGCCCCUUGGAGAGGGAUAGCCACUGGAAACGGUGAUUAAUACCUCAUACUCCUUCUCUCUUAAUGAGAGUUGGGAAAUGUUUUUUCGCCAAGGGAUAAGACUAUAUGGUAUCAGGUAGUUGGUGGGGUAAGAGCCUACCAAGCCAAUGACGCCUAGCUGGUCUGAGAGGAUGAUCAGCCACACUGGAACUGAGACACGGUCCAGACUCCUACGGGAGGCAGCAGUGGGGAAUAUUGCACAAUGGAGGAAACUCUGAUGCAGCAACGCCGCGUGGAGGAUGACGCAUUUCGGUGUGUAAACUCCUUUUAUAUGGGAAGAUGAUGACGGUACCAUAUGAAUAAGCACCGGCUAACUCCGUGCCAGCAGCCGCGGGUAAUACCGAAGGGUGCAAGCGUUACUCGGAAUUACUNGGCGUNAAAGGACCCGUAAGCGGNUUUAAAAAGUCANAAGGGAAAAUCCU
rnacentral:rRNA from 1 species